UCCCUGAUUUUCAUCGAUACUCUAAGCGAAGGAUCACCAUACACAUGAUGUUCUUCAUGAUGGCGUCGUGGAUUCGGCGUGUUUGACGGCGGUUCGUGGAUUCGGAUCGUGGGCUCGUGGAUUCGAGUGGAGUUCGUGGAUUCGGACGUGUGCGAAGCGUUCGUGGAUUCGGACGUGAGGGCGUGGACAACCCGGAGGAUUGCGCGAGAUCCAUAGGAGGUUAAAAGAGGUUGAGUCCGUGGAGUCGGUAAUCACCUUGUAAUCUUUUCUCUUAGUGAAUUAUUUUUUCGCGUGUUGGUCCCGUGGGUUUUUCUCCAAGUUGGAGUUUUCCCACGUAAAUCUCGGUGUGAUUUUUAUUUUCCGCAUUUAUUUUUAUCGCAUUGAGAUUUGUGGUUUUUGGUUACUUUAACCUAUUCACCCCUCUCUAGGUGAUAGAUACAAUCUAAAUAGAUCCUUGGGCUCCUCAAAACUUUCAAUUGGUAUCAGAGCCGGAUCUAGAUAAAUUGUUUAUCUAAUGGCCGAAGGUGGAAACAUUAAUCGACCACCGCUUUUCGAUGGCACAAACUAUGCCUAUUGGAAAGUUCGCAUGAGAGCUUUUCUAAUUGCAAUCGAUGAGCGCGUUUGGCAAUCUAUUGAAUUUGGAUGGAAACAUCCUAUUGAAAAGGUCGAGAAUGUUGAAACGCCAAAACCACGGACCAAGUGGACGAAAGAUGAAAACGAGUCAUCUUCGUUUAAUGGCAAGGGUAUAAACGUUUUAUUUAAUGCAUUGUCACAAACGGAGUUUACUCGCGUUUCGGCAUGUGAAACCGCCAAGAAAAUUUGGAACACUCUACAAAUUACACAUGAAGGUACUAGUUUAGUAAAAAUUCAAAAGCUCCAAAUGUUGACUAGCCAAUUUGAUUCUAUUCGUAUGGAGGAGCAUGAAUCUUUCACUUAUUACUAUACUAGACUUCAAGAUAUUAUUAACACAUGUGCUAAUUUGGGAGAGAAGAUCCCGGAUGCUAAAGUUGUUCGUAAAAUUCUUCGAACGCUUCCGGAACGUUUUCGAGCUAAAGUAGCCGCGAUCGAAACAGUCAAACAUUCGGACGAGAUGAAAGUCGAGGAAUUAGUAGGUGCAUUACAAACUUAUGAGAUGACUUUUCCUACUAAUCAAUCUUCUUCCAAGUCUUUCUCUAAAAGCACAGGGAUUGCAUUAAAGUCGACAAAGGAGGAAGAAGAGGAUUCAAAUUUCGAUGAAGAUGUUUCUCUUGCUGAUUUUGAACAUCAACUUGCACUAUUAACGAAGAAGUUUCGCCGGAAUUUCCGAAAGAGCAAAUCGAAUAAACCUUCAUCGUCCAAGCAAUCAUCGUCUAAAUCUUCAUCGUCUACAUCUAAGGAGAAGAAGCGUGCAAAGGCUUCAAAAGAAAAGGAUGUAUUUGAAGGCGAGAUCCAAUGCUUCAAAUGCAAAGGCUACGGCCACAUCGCGACGGAUUGCCCUCAAAGAAAGUUUAUAAAUCGAAGGCUAUGCAAGCAAAGACUUGGGAUGAUUCUUCUAGUGAAUCAUCGUCAAGUGAUGAAAAAAAGAAUGAUCAAAUUGCCUUAUUUGCUAAUACUCCUUCAUCGAACGUUGUGUGUUUAUCCUCUAUUGCUACUAACUCUAAUGUUUCUUUUUCUUCGCAUGAAUCAUCAAGUGAUAAUGGCGAAAGCGGGGAGGAUUCGAACGACGAGGAUAUAGCGGAAGCUUACAACCAACUUCUUAUUGAAUCAAAGAAGAUGGCUAAACUAAAUAAGAAGUUGAGGCGUCGUUUGUUGAAUCUCGAAGUGGAAAACAACAACUUGAAGGUCACGAACAAAGGUCUCGAGGAGGAAAGGGAAUCAAUUUUGAAAAAUAAUUCGGACUUCUAAGAAAAGCUUAAUGAAGCGGAAUCAACGAUCAAAUCGUAUAAAGACAAGGUUGGAUUUUUGGAGGAACAAUUUGAGGAAUCGCACAAAUCCAACAAGGCCUUGACUAAUCAAGUUCAUCAACUCCAAUCCGAUAUUCAAAUAUUUUCUUCGGGAUCUAAGAAAUUGGAUCAUAUGCUCGGAUUGGGUCAAACGAACAAACUUGGUCUCGGUUAUGAACGCACAUACGUUGAGAAGGUUUCAACAAAAGGUGUGUCACAUAUGUAGCAUCAAAGGACACAUCAAAAGGAAUUGCCCGAACAAAAAUGGCAAGUCACAAUCGGCAACUUCAAAACAUCAAGCGACAUUAUCUACAACUUGACUUCCCCAACGGAAGCAAAAGAAAAAUUAAGUGAGUCGGGUACCUCAAAAGAAUCGGACUUCUAAACCGCAACGCCAAGUUCUACCUAAGCCACAAGCAAACCGGAUGCCUAAUGCAAAACGACAAAUUCAAACAAAGCCUCAAGCAAAGAAAACACCAACGGUUGAUCUUAAAUCUAAGCAAAUGGCACCAAACGUCGACAAGCCGAGAAAAUUGAAGAUCUGACAAGUUUGGAUCCGGAAAGGUGAUAUCUUUCCUUGCUUCUCGUCUUAGCUGUUUUUGAUUUCUUGUGUAGUGCUUUGAUAGGUGCUUAUUGCAUAUUUUUAUUCAUUGCAUUACAUGUUUAGAUGUUUCUUUUGGUGCUUUGAAUUUUGUUUGUAGACAAAAUCUUUUUGAGGAAAGGCGUUUGGGAAUUUAAAUUUUUUUUUUGAGAGGGGAUGGUUGAGAAUCAUUAUUUUGAGGAGAGAAAUUUUUUUAAAAAAUUGUUUAAACGGUGUUUAACUUCACAUUCAUAUUAAGUUAAAUUCAUAUUAAUUAUCGGUUUUACUCCACUUUUUAUUAUUUUGAUGAUAAUUUAAUAUAUGAUUUCUUAAUAUUCGCUAAUAGACUAAAAUUUGUCAAAAUAUUUUCAAUUGUGAGAUUGUCUAAUUUAGGAGGAGUUUGAAAUUAUCAAAAAAAAAAAAGGGAAAACUCCUAUGUUUAAAAGAUAUGGAAAGAGUUACAUCCAAAAGGAGUGUGAAAACUACCACCACAUGUAGGAAAGAGCUACCACCCCGGUCGUCCGGCAAGUGUGCGAAGCUACCACAUGAAGAUUGAAUUGAUUAACCGAAAAAGGUUGAAAAAAAAAAAAAAUUGAAUAUUUUAGAAUUUUCGGAGUUAUAAGGUGUUAGUUUGAAAAAAAAGAUGCUCAAAGAGCCACCCCCGGUAUCAUAUUAGUUAAAUCUCUAUUUUGAACGGAUUACGACAAAUUGGUGUCAAUUUUGCCGAAUUUCUAAAAAUCAUUUUUCGUAAACCGUUAAAUCUUGAUGAUUUUGAAACUUGAGAUCAUUUUUGAUAAUGAAAUUUUGAUGUUUAAAUGUAUUUUGAAAUCUUAUAAUAAUUUAUUCUCAUUUUUAUGAUUUUGGAGUAAAAUCCUGAAUUUAAAUGAGAUUAAUUUAAUGUGGUGGAUUUUUAAAGCAUAAUUUUUGAAAAAUUUUUUUCACAUUUUGGUCCUUGUACCGGUACAAGAACCCGUGUACCGGUACAAGGUCUGUACCCGAGCGGCUUAUAACCGGGUAUAGCAUUUCAUUUUGCCUCAAAUCAAAACCAAAUUUCACACUUUCUCUCUCUAAAAAUCCCUGGUGCCUUCCUCUUCCAGAUCUACACGAUUUCCUGCAGAAAUUUGUGAGUAUUUAGCUUAGAUUUAAUCGUUUCAUCGCGUUCAUGUUUAUUUUUCAAAAAUAUUCCGAGUUGAAGCUAGAUCUCUGUUUUUAAUCGUUUUUGAUGCAAUUUUUUGCUGUAGAUCAGUGCUUAAGGACAUUAUCUUGCUUCUAGAACACUUAGAUCAAGUUAUAAUGCUAUAUUUUUCGCUGAUCUAUGAUCCUUAUAUCAUAAUACAUGGAAUUUCGGGAUUUUGGUGCAAUAUCAAUUUUUUGAUGAAAUUUUUUGCAUGAAUGAGUUGGCAAUAGCAUUAGUAUGCAUUCUAAGAUUAUUAGAUAUUUUUUCGCUAUUUUUACAGAUUUUUCCAAAAUUUUCUUCAUAAAUGGCUCAUUUUCAUGUAGGAAAUGGCGUUUUUGCUCGUGAUCCUACUUUUGGUGCUUAUGGCCGCCGGUCGUGGUCGUGGUGGUGGUCGAGGACAACGUGGAACCUCAAUAAGAGACCGUGCUGCUACAGGAGAGUCCGGUUUAGAUCCGGAGUAUCAAGCAAGCUCGCAGAAAGAAACAGAAGAAGAGGCGACUCGAGCUGCUAAAGGAAAGGGUGUUGUGGGUGAAUCAUCUCAUGGCGGUGGUUCUCGUACGCGUGAGGGACGUACAAAACGAGCCGCGGAUGUCCCUUCAGUACGACAAAGGUUAUAUAUGUCGAAGUCGUGCAUAGUUGAGCGCUUCGUGAACUUCAAUGACCUGUUUCGAGAUGUUCCUGCUUUUGGGCGACUACUACAGCGCGCACCUAUUGAGCCAGUUGGACGGGUCCCUGCCAAGGCUCCCUUCUGUGUGGAACUCAUUCGGGAGUUCUAUAUGAAUGGAAAGGUACUUGCUGAAGACGAUGAGACAGGCACUUUUCUUUUUGAGACUGUUGUGCGUCAGAAGAGAGUCCCAGUUACUCCCUAUACUAUUGGAGAAAUCUUGGGAAUGCAUGUGGACGCUGCAGGUCUUCUCUAUACAUCAGGAGGAUUCCAAUCGUCAACUCACAUGGAUAUCGUUCUUGGAGCUAUAUGCAAGCCCGGUGUUCACAUGACUCAUGGUUACAUAGAAUCCAAGGAUUUAUUACCUGAGUACCACUUGCUAUCCUUGGUCAUGAGCUAUAAUGUUCAACCAACCAUCGGCACGAAGAGGAUCCGUUGGGAGAGAUUAGUAUUGCUAUAUCUUCUUGGUCAUCCCGAGUAGGCUCAUGGGUUGAACAUCAACAUCCCGUUUCUGAUCUAGCAAAGGAUGAUACACGUGAUUCAGGGCGCCACUCGACGGGAUCUACUUCCAUUCCCUGUUCUGAUUACGAGGAUUCUACAAGCACAUGGAGUAGAUACAUCAUGUGACAAGUAUGAUGUUGGCCUUGGGCCUAUUGAUUCAGUGACUUGGGCUAAGUCUGUUAGCACUCUUAAGUCAUUCCAUCAGACCAAGGGGCCACUUCCUGAAGUAUCUAGCCCAGUACCUCCACCGAGAGCAGCUUCUAGCUCUACUCCUCCGCCUCCAUCCCGAGGGAGUUAUGAUACUUCAUCUAGUUCGGAGGGAGCGACGACGUUGGAAUCAGUUAAGGAGGAUUUGCGAAAAUUAAAGAAGAAGGUCAACAAUAUUGGGAGAAAAGUUGAGUCAAGCAUCAAGAAAUUUGAAUUAAGUAUCAAAAGGAUGAUGGAUAAGAUGGGGUGUCGACAUGAUGAUAUUUGGGAACCCACUCCAUCUUAUGGUACGUAUCAGCGGUCAUCUUCCCAGCAUCCACUCAUUCCUCCUGCGACAGGUGCGUCAGGCGCUGGAGCAUCUGGAUCUGGUGCUGGCGCAGAGGAUGACGACGACGAGGACACAGAGUGAUGUUUUCCAGAGCUUCAUGUUUUAUCUUAGUUUUAUGUUUUCAUGUUUAGUUUAGGCUUCUACUUGUAUUUGUUGCUUUCUCUCUUAGGCCUGUAUCUAUAUUUUAACUUUGCUGUUUAUUUCUAGUGGAUUUUCUCUUUUUAUGCUUUUUGGCAAUUUUCUGACAAAAAGGGGGAGAUCACAAGAUGAACAGGUUCAUGAACAAAGGGGGAGAAGUGGUGAACAAAAGUGGAGAAAAGAAGAAAGAAGCAAUUGAACAAAGGGGGAGAAUGGAUUUCAAGACUUCAAGACUCCUAGUUGCAUCUAAGUCAUAGAGUCUGUUUUAGGAGUUUUGAAUGUAUUUUGAGUUUUAAUUUGUAUUUGGAUUACACGCGAGAGGUUCAUUAUUUUGGUGAUGACAAUCGAACUUUGUUUUUUUUAAAUGUAAUGUUUGUGUGUGUUUUGUCACGAAAUUGCCAAAGGGGGAGAUUGUUAGGUCCUAUGUGUUGGCAAGUUUCGUGGGUCGAGUCGAAGUCUUGAAGUAGUCCGAAGUGGAGUAUUGAAGAUCGAAGAAUCCAAGACUUUGAAGAAUCGGAAAGGACGCAAAACACGCAAAACUUGAAUCACGAUGCGUAGGUAAGCUUUAAAUCUUGUUUAUGGUGAUUCAUACUUAUUUAUAGAUCUUAGAAUCAUAUUUUCAAGUUGUAAUUGAUUAGAAAGUUUCUAAGAGCUUAUAAAACCCGAAACAAUGCAUUUUCAGCAAAAAUUGCAUUGUUGUACCGGUACAAGGGUUUUCUGUCCAGGGUACAGACAUCGGCUAUUGCCGCUGAGUUUUUCGUGGUUGUUCCGGUACAACCAUCAUUGCUGUACCGGUACAAGCCCUGUUCCGGAACAAGCUGAAGUCUGUUCAGGGUACAGAAGCUUCGCAGAAAAAUCUUCCGUCAUGCUGUACCCUGGACAGCUUCCCUUGUACCGGUACAAGGUGCUGAAUAUGGAAAGAAACUUUCUAAUUCUAUUCCGGUUUGAUUCUAAAGUCUAUAAAUAAGCUAUUGGGGUUCUCUAACAUAUUAAGCAUCACGAAAAUACAUGUUUGAGAAACCCUAGAGGCUCGGAUUUCAUCUAAAACCUAUUUUCUACAAAAAGCCUCUUUUAGGUCAAAUCGAGAGAUUGAAUUUUCAUAUCAAUAUGUCGAUUUGAUCUCCGCUUCGCUUGGAGUUUUCUUCCCUGGUUUUCAUCGAUACUCUAAGCGAAGGAUCACCAUACACAUGAUGUUCUUCAUGAUGGCGUCGUGGAUUCGGCGUGUUUGACGGCGGUUCGUGGAUUCGGAUCGUGGGCUCGUGGAUUCGAGUGGCGUUCGUGGAUUCGGACGUGUGCGAGGCGUUCGUGGAUUCGGACGUGAGGGCGUGGACAACCCAGAGGAUUGCGCGAGAUCCAUAGGAGGUUAAGAGAGGUUGAGUCCGUGGAGUCGGUAAUCACCUUGUAAUCUUUUCUCUUAGUGGAUUAUUUUUUCGCGUGUUGGUCCCGUGGGUUUUUCUCCAAAUUGGAGUUUUCCCACGUAAAUAUCGGUGUGAAUUUUAUUUUCCGCAUUUAUUUUUAUCGCAUUGAGAUUUGUGGUUUUUGGUUACUUUCACCUAUUCACCCCCAUCUAGGUGAUAGAUACAAUCUAGAUAGAUCCUUGGGCUCCUCAAAACUUUCAUAUAUGAACACAAUUUUUUCGAAAAAUUUAUAAAAAUAGCAAAAAAAUUCUAAUAUUCAUAGAAUGCAUACUAACGCUAUUUCAAACUAAUUCAUGCAAAAAAUUUCAUCAAAAAAUGAUAUCUCAACAAAAAUUCCGAAAUUCCAAGCAUAUUGAUAUCUAGAUCACAAAUCAGCGAAAAAUAAU
rnacentral:lncRNA from 1 species